rnacentral:pre_miRNA from 1 species
GGCCUCCCUCUUUGGGGUGAUCAAUCGUGGAGCCCCUCCAUUGAUCGCUCUGCAGAGGGUGGCC